rnacentral:rRNA from 1 species
UACGUAGGGUGCAAGCGUUUUUUAAUCGGGAAUUACUGGGGCGUAAAGCGUGCGCAGGCGGGUUGUGCAAGACAGAUGUGAAAUCCCCGGGCUCAACCUGGGGAACUGCAUUUUGUGACUGCACGGCUAGAGUGUGUCAGAGGGGGGGGGGUAGAAAUUUCCCACGUGUAGCAGUGAAAAUGCGUAGAUAUGUGGGAGGA